UACAGAGACUGCAAGCGUUAUUCGGAAUCACUGGGCGUAAAGGGCGCGUAGGCGGCCUUGUAAGUUGGGGGUGAAAGCCCGUGGCUCAACCACGGAAUUGCCUUCGAUACUGCUUGGCUUGAGACCGGAAGAGGUGAGUGGAACUGCGAGUGUAGAGGUGAAAUUCGUAGAUAUUCGCAAGAACACCAGUGGCGAAGGCGGCUCACUGGUCCGGAUCUGACGCUGAGGCGCGAAAGCGUGGGGAGCAAACAGG
rnacentral:rRNA from 1 species